GCCUAAUACAUGCAAGUCGAGCGGACAGAUGGGAGCUUGCUCCCUGAUGUUAGCGGCGGACGGGUGAGUAACACGUGGGUAACCUGCCUGUAAGACUGGGAUAACUCCGGGAAACCGGGGCUAAUACCGGAUGGUUGUUUGAACCGCAUGGUUCAAACAUAAAAGGUGGCUUCGGCUACCACUUACAGAUGGACCCGCGGCGCAUUAGCUAGUUGGUGAGGUAACGGCUCACCAAGGCAACGAUGCGUAGCCGACCUGAGAGGGUGAUCGGCCACACUGGGACUGAGACACGGCCCAGACUCCUACGGGAGGCAGCAGUAGGGAAUCUUCCGCAAUGGACGAAAGUCUGACGGAGCAACGCCGCGUGAGUGAUGAAGGUUUUCGGAUCGUAAAGCUCUGUUGUUAGGGAAGAACAAGUACCGUUCGAAUAGGGCGGUACCUUGACGGUACCUAACCAGAAAGCCACGGCUAACUACGUGCCAGCAGCCGCGGUAAUACGUAGGUGGCAAGCGUUGUCCGGAAUUAUUGGGCGUAAAGGGCUCGCAGGCGGUUUCUUAAGUCUGAUGUGAAAGCCCCCGGCUCAACCGGGGAGGGUCAUUGGAAACUGGGGAACUUGAGUGCAGAAGAGGAGAGUGGAAUUCCACGUGUAGCGGUGAAAUGCGUAGAGAUGUGGAGGAACACCAGUGGCGAAGGCGACUCUCUGGUCUGUAACUGACGCUGAGGAGCGAAAGCGUGGGGAGCGAACAGGAUUAGAUACCCUGGUAGUCCACGCCGUAAACGAUGAGUGCUAAGUGUUAGGGGGUUUCCGCCCCUUAGUGCUGCAGCUAACGCAUUAAGCACUCCGCCUGGGGAGUACGGUCGCAAGACUGAAACUCAAAGGAAUUGACGGGGGCCCGCACAAGCGGUG
rnacentral:rRNA from 1 species